GAAAUAGGAGUUUGCUUGAGCUCUAUCUCUGUGUAAAUAGCACCAACAAAAAUGAAGCAUAAAUGCCACAUUAGUGACACUUCUGGUGAAGGUCCCCGAGCUGUCACAGGGCUGCUGCUUGUCCCGGCUGCCCAGGGGGGAACAGAAUGGUGAUAUGGCCUUGGAGAAACUGCCGGAGAGAUGAAAGAAGCCUACAGCAACAGUUAGAAGUGAAGGCUUUUGAACAGCUCUGUUAUUUUAGCAGCUUUUAGGAUGUUUCUACGAGGGUAAACCCCCAAAAGAGCUUUUGAAGGGAAGAGAAACUGCUGCUGAUAAAAAUGAAAGAAUUAGCUAAGUGCUCCGGUAAUCUGUAACAGGUUUAUGUGGCAAUGAUUUGUUUUACUCAGCAAUGUGAUUAAUCACUUUCCCUGUGCUUUGAUGCUGCCCGGUGUUGGAAUCUGUCACUGGGUGAACUUUAUCGCUUCACUAUUCAGCAUCACAAAUCAACAAUGGAAACUAACCAAGCAAGAACUGCCCCAAAUCCUAAUAACGCAACAAAGCAAGGAGCUGUACGAAUUAAGAUGCUUUCAGCAGUAUCAGUGCUCAGUGACAAGCUGUUAUUAGGAGGUGCUGCACGCAGGGUGAGGAGUUUCCAGAGCUCUCCCAGCUCUUCUCCUGAGUAAGGCAUGCUGCAAAGCACGAAGAUUCUCCAAUUAGGUACUGCUGCCUGCCUUCAUUUUCUUCCUGCUGGCUGGCAGAAAGUGGGCCCUCUGCUAUUACUUGUCCUUCCUGGCAGCUGCGUUAGCUUUUUCUGCCUUAGGUGGAAUGUGGUAAUGGAAAAGUUUCUCUUUAAAAGCCCGAAUGCAGCAACACCUGACCUACUUCGGAUGGAAUGGAGAGCAGAAUGAUGAUCCUGUGGUGGGUUUUGAGUUACUCUAUGAUAAUUUCUGAAAGGCAAGCUGCCGCUUGGACACAUCUCCCAGGGUAUGCACUCAGUGAUGCUCUGAGGUCAGGAAAGAAAUUGGUUAUGAGAUCAUACCCAGAGAGCGGUGGUCAAUGUCUGAGUGUCCAGAUGGAGAUUGGCAAUGAAUGCUCAAGGGGACAGAAAGAAGGGGACAGACUCUUUAGCAGUCUCUGCUGUGAUAGGACAAGGAAGAGGGGAGAUUGAGCCUGGAGAUGAGGAAGAAGGUUUGGCACUGAGGGCGGUGAGGCAGUGGCACAGGUUGCCCAGAGAGGCGGUGGUGUCCCGUCCCUGCAGACAGCCAAGGUCAGGCUGGACGGGGCUCUGAGCACUGCUGGAGCUGUGGCUGUCCCUGUGCACUGCAGG
ensembl:lncRNA